rnacentral:rRNA from 1 species
UACGUAGGGGGCAAGCGUUGUCGGGAUUCAUUGGGCGUAAAGCGCCCGUAGGCGGCUUUGUAAGUUAGAGGUGAAAGCCUGGAGCUCAACUCCAGAACUGCCUUUGAUACUGCAUGGCUUGAAUCCAGGAGAGGUGAGUGGAAUUCCGAGUGUAGAGGUGAAAUUCGUAGAUAUUCGGAAGAACACCAGUGGCGAAGGCGGCUCACUGGACUGGUAUUGACGCUGAGGUGCGAAAGCGUGGGGAGCAAACAGG